rfam:Galerina marginata CBS 339.88 GALMAscaffold_5_Cont197, whole genome shotgun sequence.
GGCCGACUAGCACAGUUGGAUAGCGCGUCGUGCUAAUGACACGAAGGUCUUCGGUUCGAAUCCGAAGUUGGCCA